UGACCUCGGAUCAGUAGG
rnacentral:rRNA from 3 species